GCCAGGCACAGUGGCCCACUCCUGUAGUUCCAGUUAUCUGGGAGACUGAGGUAGAAAGGUGAUUGAGCCCAGGAGUUCUGGACUGUGGUGAGCUAUGCCAGUCGGGUGAUCGCACAAAGUUUGGAAUCAAUAAGGUGAACUCCCAGGAGGAGGGAACCACCAGGUUGCCUACAGAGGGAUGAACAAGCUCAGGUUGGAAAAAGAGCAGGUCAAAACUCCCAUGGUGAUCAGCAGCGGAAUCGCACCUGUAAAUAGCCACUGCAUUCCAGCCUAGGCAACAUAGGAAGACCCUGUGUCUU
rnacentral:SRP_RNA from 1 species